rnacentral:rRNA from 1 species
ACGAACGCUGGCGGCGUGCUUAACACAUGCAAGUCGAGCGGUAAGGCCCUUUCGGGGGUACACGAGCGGCGAACGGGUGAGUAAUACGUGGGUGACCUGCCCUCAGCUCUGGGAUAAGCCUGGGAAACUGGGUCUAAUACUGGAUAUGACUCCACGGUGCAUGUCGUGGGGUGGAAAGCCUUGUGCGGCUGAGGAUGGGCCCGCGGCCUAUCAGCUUGUUGGUGGGGUGAGGCCUACCAAGGCGACGACGGGUAGCCGGCCUGAGAGGGCGACCGGCCCACACUGGGACUGAGACACGGCCCAGACUCCUACGGGAGGCAGCAGUGGGGAAUCUUGCGCAAUGGGCGAAAGCCUGACGCAGCGACGCCGCGUGAGGGAUGACGGCCU